UGCCCCUGCUACUAGUCUCAAAAGUGAUCACUUGACAAAGGCCCAAAGGCAGGUGCAAAAAUAAAUUCUCUUUUGCAGCCCAGAACUCAGUGUUCUAUAUGAGUUUUGGUACACACAGGACGGAACAUG